UACGUAGGGGGCGAGCGUUGUCCGGAUUUAUUGGGCGUAAAGAGCGUGUAGGCGGUUCGGUAAGUCUGUCGUGAAAUCCUGAGGCUCAACCUCGGGCGUGCGAUGGAUACUGCCGGGCUAGAGGGUGGUAGAGGCGAGUGGAAUUCCCGGUGUAGCGGUGAAAUGCGCAGAUAUCAGGAGGAACACCGGUGGCGAAGGCGGUUCUCUGGGCAUGUCCUGACGCUGAGGAGCGAAAGUGUGGGGAGCGAACAGG
rnacentral:rRNA from 1 species